rnacentral:rRNA from 1 species
UGGGGAAUAUUGGACAAUGGGCGCAAGCCUGAUCCAGCAAUGCCGCGUGGGUGAAGAAGGUCUUCGGAUCGUAAAGCCCUUUCGACGGGGACGAUGAUGACGGUACCCGUAGAAGAAGCCCCGGCUAACUUCGUGCCAGCAGCCGCGGUAAUACGAAGGGGGCUAGCGUUGCUCGGAAUUACUGGGCGUAAAGGGCGCGUAGGCGGUCAUUUUAGUCAGGCGUGAAAUUCCCGGGCUUAACCUGGGGACUGCGCUUGAUACUGGGUGACUAGAGGGUGGAAGAGGGUCGUGGAAUUCCCAGUGUAGAGGUGAAAUUCGUAGAUAUUGGGAAGAACACCGGUGGCGAAGGCGGCGACCUGGUCCAUUACUGACGCUGAGGCGCGAC